GACGAACGCUGGCGGUGUGCCUAAUACAUGCAAGUCGAGCGAGCGGAACCAACAGAUUUACUUCGGUAAUGACGUUGGGAAAGCGAGCGGCGGAUGGGUGAGUAACACGUGGGGAACCUGCCCCUAAGUCUGGGAUACCAUUUGGAAACUGGUGCUAAUACCGGAUAAUAAAGCAGAUCGCAUGAUCAGCUUUUGAAAGGCGGCGUAAGCUGUCGCUAAGGGAUGGCCCCGCGGUGCAUUGGCUAGUUGGUGAGGUAACGGCUCACCAAGGCGAUGAUAGGUAGCCGGACUGAGAGGUUGAACGGCCACAUUGGGACUGAGGCACGGUCCAA
rnacentral:rRNA from 1 species